rnacentral:misc_RNA from 1 species
CCAAGGCUCAUGCUGGACUCAUACGGUCACGGCGAGCCAGCCUACGCCAUCGAACUGCUUUCGCUCGACGCGGACGGAGUUCAUCAGUUGUUCGCAGACCUCGGGUUCCCACAGUACCACGAGCCGCUUAGCGACCCGCCGACGGCUUGACCAUCGCUCCUUCGCCUACCCUCGCUCGCGGAUCUCGACUUCCUCGCUCCGCGCCUGCUGCCCAUUCCUGGCCUCCUGCCGCUUGCAUCGUGCACUCGAGCUAUGAGACGCGAAGUCUCGCGGUCGAAUGGCGGUCCUGCAUCUU